CCUACGGGGAGCUGCAGUGGGGAAUAUUGGACAAUGGGGGCAACCCUGAUCCAGCCAUGCCGCGUGUGUGAAGAAGGCCCUCGGGUUGUAAAGCACUUUCAGUGAGGAAGAACGCCUGGUGGUUAAUACCCAUCAGGAAAGACAUCACUCACAGAAGAAGCACCGGCUAACUCCGUGCCAGCAGCCGCGGUAAUACGGAGGGUGCGAGCGUUAAUCGGAAUUACUGGGCGUAAAGCGCGCGUAGGUGGCUUGAUAAGCCGGUUGUGAAAGCCCCGGGCUCAACCUGGGAACGGCAUCCGGAACUGUCAAGCUAGAGUGCAGGAGAGGAAGGUAGAAUUCCCGGUGUAGCGGUGAAAUGCGUAGAGAUCGGGAGGAAUACCAGUGGCGAAGGCGGCCUUCUGGACUGAAACUGACACUGAGGUGCGAAAGCGUGGGUAGCAAACAGGCUUAGAUACCCGAGUAGUC
rnacentral:rRNA from 1 species